AGUAACGGCGAGUGAAGCGGUAAAAGCUCAAAUUUGAAAUCUGGCUCUUUUAGAGUCCGAAUUGUAAUUUGUAGAAGAUGCUUCGGGUGUGGUUCCGGUCUAAGUUCCUUGGAACAGGACGUCAUAGAGGGUGAGAAUCCCGUAUGUGACUGUAUACCUAUGCUCAUGUGAAGCUCUUUCGACGAGUCGAGUUGUUUGGG
rnacentral:rRNA from 1 species